UACGGAGGGUCCAAGCGUUAUCCGGAUUUAUUGGGCUUAAAGGGUGCGUAGGUGGCCUGUUAAGUCAGGGGUGAAAGACGGUAGCUUAACUAUCGCAGUGCCCUUGAUACUGAUGGGCUUGAAUGAACUAGAGGUAGGCGGAAUGUGACAAGUAGCGGUGAAAUGCAUAGAUAUGUCACAGAACACCAAUUGCGAAGGCAGCUUACUAUGGUUUUAUUGACACUGAGGCACGAAAGCGUGGGGAUCAAACAGG
rnacentral:rRNA from 1 species